AAACCAAAUCCCUAAACGUAGGUAGGCGACGGCGGCGGCGGCGACAGUGGAAUUCUUUGGUUGCUAACCGGCGACGAGCAGUUGAAUGAGAGUAGGAGGCCAGGGCGCGGCGGGAGUACUCGCGCAGCGGUGUGAACUCUUUCUCUGCUCCCCCUUCUCCUCUGCUACUAGGCGAGAUGGGUGGCGCCGACGUUCCGAAGCGCGACGACGAGGAAUGGAAGCAGACGGCGGUGUACAACUGGGGAUCAAAGAGAAGCGCUCAGGAUGAGGAGAUGCCGGGAUUGGACUUGAGAAGGAGGCUGAGAAGCAUGCUGAUAAAGAGAAGCACAAGAUGGAGAAGGUCAUUGCUAGGAUCAACAAGGAGCAAAUUAUAUGCAGAGAUAGGAUGCUACUGUUUGUAAUCAGUAUGUGUGCUAGCUUGUGUGUCAUCCUGUUUGCAGUAGCAGGAAAGUAGUAGAAGUGGGAUGAUGUUUGCAGUACGAGGAAAUGAGUUUGUAUUAUGAACAUGAUCUAUGUGUAAAUGGC
rnacentral:rRNA from 1 species